GCCUACGGGAGGCAGCAGUGAGGAAUAUUGGUCAAUGGCCGGAAGGCUGAACCAGCCAAGUCGCGUGAGGGACGACUGCCCUAUGGGUUGUAAACCUCUUUUAUAAGGGAAGAAUAAAUGCUACGUGUAGCAUGAUGCCUGUACCUUAUGAAUAAGCAUCGGCUAACUCCGUGCCAGCAGCCGCGGUAAUACGGAGGAUGCGAGCGUUAUCCGGAUUUAUUGGGUUUAAAGGGUGCGUAGGCGGUUUUUUAAGUAAGUGGUUAAACGUCGGGGCUUCACCUUGAUAUGCCAUUAAUACUGUAAGA
rnacentral:rRNA from 1 species